GACGAACCGUGCGAACGUUGUUCGGAAUCACUGGGCUUAAAGGGCGCGUAGGCGGGCUCACAAGUCAGGGGUGAAAUCCCACGGCUCAACCGUGGAAGUGCCUUUGAUACUGUGGGUCUUGAGGGAGGUAGGGGCGUGCGGAACUUCCGGUGGAGCGGUGAAAUGCGUUGAGAUCGGAAGGAACGCCCGUGGCGAAAGCGGGCUCCCUGGACCCCACCUGACGCUGAGACGCGAAAGCCAGGGGAGCGAACGGG
rnacentral:rRNA from 1 species